rnacentral:rRNA from 1 species
UAGGGAAUCUUGCGCAAUGGGCGAAAGCCUGACGCAGCAACGCCGCGUGGGGGAUGAAGGCCCUCGGGUCGUAAACCCCUUUCAGCAGGGACGAAAAUGACGGUACCUGCAGAAGAAGCGCCGGCCAACUACGUGCCAGCAGCCGCGGUAACACGUAGGGCGCAAGCGUUGUCCGGAUUCAUUGGGCGUAAAGAGCUCGUAGGCGGUUUUGUAAGUCGGGUGUGAAAACUCAGGGCUCAACCCUGAGACGCCACCCGAUACUGCAAUGACUCGAGUCCGGUAGGGGAGCAUGGAAUUCCUGGUGUAGCGGUGAAAUGCGCAGAUAUCAGGAGGAACACCAGUAGCGAAGGCGGUGCUCUGGGCCGGUACUGACGCUGAGGAGCGAAAGCGUGGGGAGCGAACAGGAUUAGAUACCCCUGUAGUCC